GACGAACGCUGGCGGCGUGCCUAAUACAUGCAAGUAGAACGCUGAAGGAGGAGCUUGCUUCUCCGGAUGAGUUGCGAACGGGUGAGUAACGCGUAGGUAACCUGCCUGAUAGCGGGGGAUAACUAUUGGAAACGAUAGCUAAUACCGCAUAACAGUAGAUGUUGCAUGACAUUUGCUUAAAAGGUGCAAUUGCAUCACUACCAGAUGGACCUGCGUUGUAUUAGCUAGUUGGUGAGGUAACGGCUCACCAAGGCGACGAUACAUAGCCGACCUGAGAGGGUGAUCGGCCACACUGGGACUGAGACACGGCCCAGACUCCUACGGGAGGCAGCAGUAGGGAAUCUUCGGCAAUGGACGGAAGUCUGACCGAGCAACGCCGCGUGAGUGAAGAAGGUUUUCGGAUCGUAAAGCUCUGUUGUAAGAGAAGAACGAAUGUGAGAGUGGAAAGUUCACACUGUGACGGUAUCUUACCAGAAAGGGACGGCUAACUACGUG
rnacentral:rRNA from 1 species